rnacentral:rRNA from 1 species
UGGGGAAUAUUGCACAAUGGGCGCAAGCCUGAUGCAGCCAUGCCGCGUGUGUGAAGAAGGCCUUCGGGUUGUAAAGCACUUUCAGCGGGGAGGAAGGCGUUAAGGUUAAUAACCUUGGCGAUUGACGUUACCCGCAGAAGAAGCACCGGCUAACUCCGUGCCAGCAGCCGCGGUAAUACGGAGGGUGCAAGCGUUAAUCGGAAUUACUGGGCGUAAAGCGCACGCAGGCGGUCUGUCAAGUCGGAUGUGAAAUCCCCGGGCUCAACCUGGGAACUGCAUUCGAAACUGGCAGGCUAGAGUCGUGUAGAGGGGGGUAGAAUUCCAGGUGUAGCGGUGAAAUGCGUAGAGAUCUGGAGGAAUACCGGUGGCGAAGGCGGCCCCCUGGACAAAGACUGACGCUCAGGUGCGAAAGCGUGGGGGGCAAACAGG